rnacentral:rRNA from 1 species
GCGAGAUGAUCUCUUCGGGGAGAUUCUAGCGGCGGACGGGUGAGUAACACGUGGGUAACCUGCCUCAAAGAGGGGGAUAGCCUCCCGAAAGGGAGAUUAAUACCGCAUAACAUUAUUUUCUCGCAUGAGAAGAUAAUCAAAGGAGCAAUCCGCUUUGAGAUGGACCCGCGGCGCAUUAGCUAGUUGGUGAGGUAACGGCUCACCAAGGCGACGAUGCGUAGCCGACCUGAGAGGGUGAUCGGCCACAUUGGAACUGAGACACGGUCCAGACUCCUACGGGAGGCAGCAGUGGGGAAUAUUGCGCAAUGGGGGAAACCCUGACGCAAGCAACGCCGCGUGAGUGAUGAAGGUCUUCGGAUUGUAAAGCUCUGUCUUUGGGGACGAUAAUGACGGUACCCAAGGAGGAAGCCACGGCUAACUACGUG